AACGAACGCUGGCGGCGCGCUUAACACAUGCAAGUCGAACGAGAAGGCGUAGCAAUACGCUUGUACAGUGGCGAACGGGUGAGUAAUACGUGGGCGACCUACCCUCGAGUGGGGAAUAACCCGCCGAAAGGCGGGCUAAUGCCGCGUACGCUUCCAUCUUUAUGGAGGUGGAAGGAAAGCCGUGCCGUGGGCACGGCGCUCAAGGAUGGGCUCACGUCCUAUCAGCUUGCNGGUAGGGUAACGGCCUACCAAGGCUCCGACGGUAGCUGGUCUGAGAGGACGAUCAGCCACACUGGCACUGCGACACGGGCCAGACUCCUACGGGAGGCAGCAGUGAGGAAUAUUGCGCAAUGGGCGAAAGCCUGACGCAGCGACGCCGC
rnacentral:rRNA from 1 species